CGGGGUGUAGCGCAGGGGUAGCGCGCUGCGUUCGGGACGCAGAGGCCGAAGGUUCAAAUCCUUUCACCCCGACCA
rnacentral:tRNA from 3 species